rnacentral:rRNA from 1 species
UACGAGCGGCCCAACCGUUAUUCGGAUUUACUGGGCUUAACGAGUUCGUAGGCGGCGCGGAAAGUAGGGUGUGAAAGCCCUCGGCUCAACCGAGGAAUUGCGCUCUAAACUGCCGCGCUCGAGGAACCUAGAGGUGAGCAGAACUGAUGGUGGAGCGGUGAAAUGCGUUGAUAUCAUCAGGAAUACCGGAGGCGAAGGCGGCUCACUGGGGGUUAUCUGACGCUGAGGAACGAAAGCCAGGGGAGCAAACGGG